UACGUAGGGUGCAAGCGUUGUCCGGAAUUACUGGGCGUAAAGAGCUCGUAGGUGGUUUGUCGCGUUGUUCGUGAAAACUCACAACUCAAUUGUGGGCGUGCGGGCGAUACGGGCAGACUGGAGUACUGCAGGGGAGACUGGAAUUCCUGGUGUAGCGGUGGAAUGCGCAGAUAUCAGGAAGAACACCCGUGGCGAAGGCGGCUCUCUGGAACGCAACUGACGCUGAGACGCGAAAGCGUGGGGAGCAAACAGG
rnacentral:rRNA from 1 species